UUUCCGUAGGUGAACCUGCGGAAGGAUCAUUGCCGGUUCUUUCUGCAGGGGGGAGAUUCUCCCUGACCCCCAUCGCUGUGCACUUUGGGGGGACUCGAGAGGGUGUCCUCCCGUUAACGAACGCCCUUGUCACUAGUGUGUAUUUUGAGAAUCCCCUUCUGAAGGGGGGAAAGUCUUUGAAACACAACUUUCAACAACGGAUCUCUUGGCUUUC
rnacentral:misc_RNA from 1 species